GUAAACGGCUGCAUAAAUCUGAGUGUACUAAGGUAGCGCUAUAAUUUGCCCUUUAAAUGGGGGCUGGUAUGAAUGGGUUCACGUGAGAUUUGCUGUGUCAUGGGGAAAUAAUCGAAAUUAACUUCUAGGUGAAGAGGCCUAGUUAGAUAUAAAGGACGACAAGACCCUAGAAGCUUUACUUAAAGUGAUUUAUAGGUAUAAUUCAUUCAAGUUUUGUUGGGGCAACAUAGUUAGAAAGUAUAACUUAUUAUAAUUUACUUACAGGUUUCAACCACAUUAGUGGAUAAGAUAAAGUUACUCUAGGGAUAACAGCGUAAUUUUUUUUGAUAGUACGUAUUGUAAAAAAAGUUUGCGACCUCGAUGUUGGAUUAGGGUUUCCUUAGGGUGUAGAAGCUCUAGAGGGUUGGCCUGUUCGUCCAUUAAAACCUUACA
rnacentral:rRNA from 1 species